rnacentral:tRNA from 1 species
AGCUCAGCUGGUAGAGCAACUGACUUGUAAUCAGUAGGUCGACGGUUCAAUUCCGCCCACCA